UUCUCUAUGUAUCCUAAGCAAAUUGAGAGGACAAAUGCAGAUAAAGAUAACCUUGUGCAAAUCCCAAUCAAUAGUAGUGAAAUUUCUCAAUUACCUCUGCCAAGGAAAGUUGAUCGAACAAGUGCUCAAGAUGAAAAUGCUCAAAAUUUUAGAUCAUAUAAUCCUUACCAGAAUAUUAAGCAGUCAACAAACAUGAUGAAAGAUCCCAUCCAUUUAAAGCGUAUCCCAACUAUGGGGCAUAGAGACGUGCAACCAAUUUUAUCAUUGUCUGCUCAGAGAGUGGAUACUAGUAAAAAUUCAA
rnacentral:misc_RNA from 1 species